UGCCGUUUUUCGGGUGAUGGGCAGCGUACACCCGCAGGGGAAGCUGCAGGCAGCCAGGGGCGACCAUGGGCGUCAUGUGUCUGUGAGAUGUUGGCGAUUCUCCUGGGUGCUGAGACGGAGCCCAGGAGGCUGGGGUGUGAUGUGGUGGUCAUCGCCGAUACUUCACAGCAGCCCAGCAGAUAGCGGGGAGGCCACAAGGCAUCGUGGAAACGACGUGGACUUCGGAGCCAGGCAUGGUUUCGAAUUCCUGAUUAGCAGUCUGUAAACGUGCAACCUCUGCAAGCCUGAGGAGGAGGCCCGAAGAACCAACGGGGAAAGCAGAUGGGAGCGAAGAGACAAGAAGAGGAAUAUAAAGACACAAAACCGAAGCAAAACAAGGAUGACUCAAGGAUUUCAUGGGCAACUUUUGUGAAGAUUCAGCUGCAACCUUACGUAUCCACGAAAGAACACGGAAGCCUCAAGGGCAGUAGUUUUAGUGUUUUGGGAUGAAUUCUGAUGAAUAAAAUCUCAAGAACAAACCGAUGGAGAUGGUUGGGACCUGGCAGCCUUAGCUGCUAGAGACCGACAAGAAGAUCAUAAAUAUGCGAAUUGGAUGGGGAACGGAGAGCGGACUGCAGGAAGUCCAGAGUAGAACCACCUGCGCUGAAAGCAAGGGACCCAGCAGCCGCCCCCAGCCCGACUCUCACAUCGAGGUGCCUGGUGGGGUGAGGGGGAGACAAGAAGGUCAUUACAGCGAAGGUUUUGCAACAGCAAAAUGGGUCAGUGCUGUCAGAAACUUACAUGGUUUCAUCACCAGGAAUGACAGUAAGGAAGAGGUAUUUGUACACCCCAACACCCCCGCCAUAGAGCUAGGACCCCAGGAAGUGCCUUGCUAGGGUGGGAGAGGGAGAUAUGGUGGAGUUGGAUGUAGAGGAAAGAGAAACGGUGUGGAGGCAGCAAAUGGGACAGGCUCUGGUCGAGCUCCAGAGCAAGGUGGUAAAUACAUAGUAGACCCUAACCAUUACAAGGCUCUCCAGGUCCAGCAAUUCCCACAGAAUUACACAGGAAGAGUAGGCAGAGGAGAACAGGCGGAGAGGGCUCUGAGGCCAGGCCGCCACCAUAUGAGUCUUACUGCAGGCCAUGGCUGCCAGGUGGCCACAGGCACAGAGCAGAGCCACAGUCUUCCAACCACCGCCCCACCCCCACACAGGGGGAGGUGCUGGAGGGCCCUCCAGCCCCUUUGCAGGAUAAGGCAGACCAGUGAGCAUAUGCAUGGCAGUUAGAGAUCACCCUGCAGCUGGGCACCUCCUCGCCAAAGACUGCCCAGAAAGGAUGACAGUGAGGAACACAAGGAAAGUCAACGAGCGAAGACCUAAGGUCAGCAGCCACCUGUGCACCGGUAUCCAGUACCCCCUCAACUUCAGUGAAGCCCAGCAAACCCUAAACCACAAGAAGGCAAGGUCACAAAAGCAACCUGUUCACCUGCUGAGGAGUGGUCCCUUCCGCCACAGAGCAGGGUGGGGCUGAGGAAAUACUGGCUUACCAUCUCUACCAUCAUCCAGUUUAGUCAUCCACCAAGAAGAAAUGAACAUGAAAUUCUAGCAAUAAGAUAAUAAACAAAAGACUGGAGCUGGAGACAUUAAGGGCUUGCUUUUUGCCCACUGACCAGAUAACUAGAACUAUCUGCAUUAUCUGUGUGGUGGUGGGGGGUGGUUCUCAUUUUUACCUUAAAGACAUCCAAUGACAAAUGCUUUUUCUUUCUCUCUCUCUCUUUUAAAGCCUGGCUUUUCUCAAUACACAUUUAAAGGUUUUUAAAAUGUUUCCUAUCUGGUCAAGUUGAGAGUUUUAAGAACCUCAUUUUUAAGUUGUAGUAAAAACGUGCAACUUGAUUUUUUCAAAAAGAUCAAACAGCAAGCACUUGUUAAUA